UAAGGGCAUUUGGAAGACAAG
rnacentral:misc_RNA from 1 species